CCAAAGAAUGAGAAUGACCAGCCCGGAGAAAAUUGCUGGACCUCUUGGAACAGAUGGAUGCUUAGAGGGCAGCCUGGUGCUUGAGGAGGCUGUUAGCAGUGCUGGACCAAUUCUUUCUUUGUUAGUUCAAACCCUGUCUGAACCAAAAUGGAACUCGCAAAGAAUACCUGCAAAGGAUGUCACCCUGGGACCCGUAGCACACUUCAGCGUCCUGGGGGAGAGUUUCCAGGUCCUGACACAGUAGCUCUCAACCAUCCUAAUGCUGCGACCUUCUAACAGCUCCUCAUGCUGUGCUGACCCCUAGCCAUAAAGUUAUUUCUGUUGCUACUUC
rnacentral:lncRNA from 1 species